rnacentral:rRNA from 1 species
GUUGUUUGAACCGCAUGGUUCAAACAUAAAAGGUGGCUUCGGCUACCACUUACAGAUGGACCCGCGGCGCAUUAGCUAGUUGGUGAGGUAACGGCUCACCAAGGCGACGAUGCGUAGCCGACCUGAGAGGGUGAUCGGCCACACUGGGACUGAGACACGGCCCAGACUCCUACGGGAGGCAGCAGUAGGGAAUCUUCCGCAAUGGACGAAAGUCUGACGGAGCAACGCCGCGUGAGUGAUGAAGGUUUUCGGAUCGUAAAGCUCUGUUGUUAGGGAAGAACAAGUACCGUUCGAAUAGGGCGGUACCUUGACGGUACCUAACCAGAAAGCCACGGCUAACUACGUGCCAGCAGCCGCGGUAAUACGUAGGUGGCAAGCGUUGUCCGGAAUUAUUGGGCGUAAAGGGCUCGCAGGCGGUUUCUUAAGUCUGAUGUGAAAGCCCCCGGCUCAACCGGGGAGGGUCAUUGGAAACUGGGGAACUUGAGUGCAGAAGAGGAG